rnacentral:lncRNA from 1 species
GGUGCAUCAGCCCGGGCUGGGGGCCGCGGCGACGGUGCCGGUGCCGGUGCUGGUGGGCUGCGUGCUGGGGGCCUUCGCCCUGGGCGCCCUCGCUGCCGCGCUGCUGUCGGCCUCCUGCCGCCGCCCCGCCGAGCCCAAGCGACCCCCGGAGCUCCCCAGCGCCCCGCGGCCCCCGGCCCAGCCGCCUGCCCCCCGCCUCUACCCCCUGCUGCCGCCCCAGGGCGGGGCCGGGGACCUGCGGGACCCCCCUGAGCCGCCCCCCCCCGAGGCCGCGCUGCAGACACCCACCACGGCGCCCCAGGAGCGGGCGGCGGAGCCGCGGCGCAGCCAGGCCACCCAUCUUGGCACCCCGGGGUGCCUGGAGCCCCCGGGCCCGGGCCCCCCACCCAAGGCCCCCCUGGAGGAGCUACUGCAGCGGCUGCAUGGGGUGGGGGGCUCGGGGUGGCCGGUGACCCCCCCGGGCGCCAACUCCUUCGCCAACCGGGUCCAGCCGGGUGCCCCCUUCUCCAGCCUGCCCCUGGCCCCCCAUGACCGCGCACCCCAGCGGCUGGACGUGCCCCCCGACAGCCCCCCCCCGCCCCGGCAGCCCCUGGCACAGAGACACUCUCUGGAGGGGGGGCUGCCCAUGAGACCCCCUGGCCUGGCCCGGGGGCUCACCCGCAUGCACUCGCUGGGGGGCCCGGGGGGGCCGCCCUGGGGCCCCCGGCCCGGUGCGCUGGAGCGCUCCUUCUCCCUGAAGCCCCCCGUGCUGCCCAAGCCCCUGCACGUGCCGGCAGCCCCCGGGCGGCCCUGAGGCCCCCCCAGGGACAUCCUGGUGCCCAGCACCCCUGGGACACCCCUCCUGUGGGGGGCUCUGGGUGGCAGGGUCCCUGAGCCAUGAGGGUCCCCGUGCCCCCAGGCUGGCCCCCACCAGGGUGAUGAGGGUCCCCAAAGUGACGGGGUGACAACCCUGAGCCAGCCCCAUCUCUCAGCCCGGCGUGAGGAGGGUCCCCACGUCCUCCCCUCCAAGGGCUUUUGUGUCUGUUUUGGGUGGGUGUUUUUGAUCCUUUCUAAUUUAUUUGCUGCUUUGGGUAUGGGGGGGGGCCGCCCCCCCCCCCCCCAACACCAGAGCUCGGCUCGUCCUACUGUGUAGGACCCGGGCUGGGCCCCGCACUGACCACGCUGAUUAAAGCCACGUCGCUCCC